AACAACCGUCGGGGCAUUCUCCUCCCCCAGCCCGGACGGUGCAAAGACCGACACUCCUCCCAGCCGGUCUUACAAGUAGCACCCACCGCUCCUCCCGCGGUGGGUGUUGUUU
rnacentral:sRNA from 1 species